rnacentral:rRNA from 1 species
CCUUGUACACACCGCCCGUCACGCCAUGGGAGUUGGUUUCACCCGAAGGUGGUGCGCUAACCCGUAAGGGAGGCAGCCAACCACGGUGGGAUCAGCGACUGGGGUG